UCGAGAAUAUUUGGCAAUGGGCGAAAGCCUGACCAUGCGACGCCGCGUGGUUGAUGAAGUCCUUCGGGACGUAAAAACCUUUUAUGAGGGAGGAAGUUAUUGACGUUACCUCAUGAAUAAGGGGCUCCUAACUCUGUGCCAGCAGGAGCGGUAAUACAGAGGCCCCAAGCAUUAUCCGGAAUCACUGGGCGUAAAGGGUGUGUAGGCGGUCGUGUUAGUCUUUCGUAAAAGCUUUCGGACUUAAUCCGGAAAAUGCGGAGGAAACGGCACGACUACGAGGACGCGAGAGGUAGAGGGAACUCAUGGUGUAGGGGUGAAAUCCGUUGAUAUCAUGGGGAACACCAAAUGCGAAGGCACUCUACUGGCGCGCUCCUGACGCUGAAACACGAAAGCGUGGGAAUCGAACGGGAUUAGAUACCCCGGUAGUCC
rnacentral:rRNA from 1 species